rnacentral:rRNA from 1 species
UACAGAGGGGGCGAGCGUUGUUCGGAAUUACUGGGCGUAAAGGGCGCGUAGGCGGCCCUCUAAGUCGAACGUGAAAUCCCCGGGCUCAACCCGGGAACUGCGUCCGAUACUGGAGGGCUCGAAUCCGGGAGAGGGAUGUGGAAUUCCAGGUGUAGCGGUGAAAUGCGUAGAUAUCUGGAGGAACACCGGUGGCGAAGGCGGCAUCCUGGACCGGUAUUGACGCUGAGGCGCGAAGGCCAGGGGAGCAAACGGG